UACGUAGGGGGCAAGCGUUGUCCGGAAUCAUUGGGCGUAAAGCGCGUGUAGGCGGUUCGGUAAGUCCGCUGUGAAAGUCGGGGGGCUCAACCCUCGGAUGCCGGUGGAUACUGUCGGGCUUGAGUACGGAAGAGGCGAGUGGAAUUCCUGGUGUAGCGGUGAAAUGCGCAGAUAUCAGGAGGAACACCAAUUGCGAAGGCAGCUCGCUGGGACGUUACUGACGCUGAGACGCGAAAGCGUGGGGAGCAAACAGG
rnacentral:rRNA from 1 species